rnacentral:rRNA from 1 species
UACGUAGGGGGCAAGCGUUGUUCGGAUUUACUGGGCGUAAAGGGCGCGUAGGCGGUCGUGACAAGUCACUUGUGAAAUCUCCGGGCUUAACUCGGAACGGUCAAGUGAUACUGUCGGACUAGAGUACAGAAGGGGCAACUGGAAUUCUCGGUGUAGCGGUGAAAUGCGUAGAUAUCGAGAGGAACACCUGCGGCGAAGGCGGCACUCUGGGCUGGAACUGACGCUGAGGAGCGAAAGCGUGGGUAGCAAACAGG